rnacentral:rRNA from 1 species
UAGGGAAUCUUCCGCAAUGGACGCAAGUCUGACGGAGCAACGCCGCGUGAGUGAAGAAGGAUUUCGGUUCGUAAAACUCUGUUGUUAGAGAAGAACAGCGCAUAGAGGAACUGUUAUGCGUGUGACGGUAUCUAACCAGAAAGCCACGGCUAACUACGUGCCAGCAGCCGCGGUAAUACGUAGGUGGCAAGCGUUGUCCGGAUUUAUUGGGCGUAAAGCGAGCGCAGGCGGUCAAUUAAGUCUGAUGUGAAAGCCCGCGGCUCAACCGGGGAGGGUCAUUGGAAACUGGUUGACUUGAGUGCAGAAGAGGAGAGUGGAAUUCCAUGUGUAGCGGUGAAAUGCGUAGAUAUAUGGAGGAACACCAGUGGCGAAGGCGACUCUCUGGUCUGUAACUGACGCUGAGGUUCGAAAGCGUGGGUAGCAAACAGG